rnacentral:rRNA from 1 species
GCGCAGGAAAAGAAACCAACAGGGAUUGCCCCAGUAACGGCGAGUGAAGCGGCAACAGCUCAAAUUUGAAAUCUGGCUUCGGCCCGAGUUGUAAUUUGCAGAGGAAGCUUUAGGCGCGGCACCAUCUGAGUCCCCUGGAACGGGGCGCCAAAGAGGGUGAGAGCCCCGUAUAGAUGGACGCCUAGCCUGUGUAAAGCUCCUUCGACGAGUCGAGUAGUUUGGGAAUGCUGCUCAAAAUGGGAGGUAAAUUUCUUCUAAAGCUAAAUAUUGGCCAGAGACCGAUAGCGCACAAGUAGAGUGAUCGAAAGAUGAAAAGCACUUUGAAAAGAGGGUUAAAUAGCACGUGAAAUUGUUGAAAGGGAAGCGCUUGUGACCAGACUUGCGCCGGGCGGAUCAUCCGGUGUUCUCACCGGUGCACUCCGCCCGGCUCAGGCCAGCAUCGGUUCUCGUGGGGGGAUAAAGGCACCGGGAACGUAGCUCCUCCGGGAGUGUUAUAGCCCGGGGCGUAAUGCCCUCGCGGGGACCGAGGACCGCGCUUCUGCUAGGAUGCUGGCGUAAUGGUCAUCAGCGACCCGUCUUGAAACACGGACCAAGGAGUCAAGGUUUUGCGCGAGUGUUUGGGUGUAAAACCCGCACGCGUAAUGAAAGUGAACGUAGGUGAGAGCUUCGGCGCAUCAUCGACCGAUCCUGAUGUUCUCGGAUGGAUUUGA